rnacentral:rRNA from 1 species
UAAGGCUGAGACACGACGUCGAGCACCUACGGGUGUGAAGUCAUUGAUGCCAUGCUUCCAGGAAAAGCCUCUAAGCUUCAGAUUGUAAGGAAUCGUACCCCAAACCGACACAGGUGGUCGGGUAGAGAAUACCAAGGCGCUUGAGAGAACUCGGGUGAAGGAACUAGGCAAAAUGGUACCGUAACUUCGGGAGAAGGUACGCUCUCGACGGUGAAGUCCCUCGCGGAUGGAGCUAUUGAGAGUCGCAGAUACCAGGUGGCUGCAACUGUUUAUUAAAAACACAGCACUGUGCAAAAUCGUAAGAUGACGUAUACGGUGUGACGCCUGCCCGGUGCCGGAAGGUUAAUUGAUGGGGUUAGACUUCGGUCGAAGCUCUUGAUCGAAGCCCCGGUAAACGGCGGCCGUAACUAUAACGGUCCUAAGGUAGCGAAAUUCCUUGUCGGGUAAGUUCCGACCUGCACGAAUGGCGUAAUGAUGGCCACGCUGUCUCCACCCGAGACUCAGUGAAAUUGAAAUCGCUGUGAAGAUGCAGUGUACCCGCGGCUAGACGGAAAGACCCCGUGAACCUUUACUACAGCUUGGCACUGAACAUUGACCCUACAUGUGUAGGAUAGGUGGGAGGCUUUGAAGCACGUACGCCAGUAUGUGUGGAGCCGUCCUUGAAAUACCACCCUUGUAGUGUUGAUGUUCUAAUGUC